rnacentral:rRNA from 1 species
CCUACGGGUGGCAGCAGUGGGGAAUAUUGCGCAAUGGGGGCAACCCUGACACAGCAACGCCGCGUGAUUGAAGAAGGCCUUCGGGUUGUAAAGAUCUUUAAACAGGGACGAAGAAAUGACUGUACCUGAAGAAUGAGCUCCGUCUAACUACGUGCCAGCAGCCGCGGUAAUACGUAGGGAGCAAGCGUUAUCCGGAUUUACUGGGUGUAAAGGGCGUGUAGGCGGGCCUGUAAGUCAGAAGUGAAAUCUGGGGGCUUAACCACCAAACUGCUUUUGAAACUGCGGGUCUUGAGUGAUGGAGAGGCAGGCGGAAUUCCUAGUGUAGCGGUGAAAUGCGUAGAUAUUGGGAGGAACACCAGUGGCGAAGGCGGCCUGCUGGACAUUAACUGACGCUGAGGCGCGAAAGCGUGGGGAGCAAACAGGAUUAGAUACCCUAGUAGUC